rnacentral:rRNA from 1 species
AGGUUACUGCUAUCGGUGUUCGCCUAAGCCAUGCGAGUCAUAUGUUCGUAAGAACAUGGCGUACUGCUCAGUAACACGUGGAUAACCUGCCCUUGGGUCCGGCAUAACCCCGGGAAACUGGGGAUAAUUCCGGAUAACGCAUAUAUGCUGGAAUGCUUUCUGCGUAAAAUGGAUUCGUCUGCCCAAGGAUGGGUCUGCGGCCUAUCAGGUAGUAGUGGGUGUAAUGUACCUACUAGCCUACGACGGGUACGGGUUGUGAGAGCAAGAGCCCGGAGAUGGAUUCUGAGACAUGAAUCCAGGCCCUACGGGGCGCAGCAGGCGCGAAAACUUUACAAUGCGGGAAACCGUGAUAAGGGGACACCGAGUGCCAGCAUCCUAUGCUGGCUGUCCGGGUGUGUAAAAUACACCUGUCAGCAAGGGCCGGGCAAGACCGGUGCCAGCCGCCGCGGUAACACCGGCGGCCCGAGUGGUGAUCGUGAUUAUUGGGUCUAAAGGGUCCGUAGCCGGUUUGGUCAGUCCUCCGGGAAAUCUGACAGCUCAACUGUUAGGCUUUCGGAGGAUACUGCCAGACUUGGAACCGGGAGAGGUAAGAGGUACUACAGGGGUAGGAGUGAAAUCUUGUAAUCCCUGUGGGACCACCUGUGGCGAAGGCGUCUUACCAGAACGGGUUCGACGGUGAGGGACGAAAGCUGGGGGCACGAACCGGAUUAGAUACCCGGGUAGUCCCAGCCGUAAACGAUGCUCGCUAGGUGUCAGGCAUGGCGCGACCGUGUCUGGUGCCGCAGGGAAGCCGUGAAGCGAGCCACCUGGGAAGUACGGCCGCAAGGCUGAAACUUAA